CAGAGUUUGACAUGGCUCAGGACGAACGCUGGCGGCGUGCCUAACACAUGCAAGUCGAGCGGAGACAGUGAGUAGCUUGCUAUGAGCUGUUUUAGCGGCGGACGGGUGAGUAACGCGUGAGCAACCUUUCCCAGACAGGGGGAAUAACACACCGAAAGGUGUACUAAUACCGCAUAAGACCACGGGAUCACAUGGUUCUGGGGUAAAAGAUUAUCGGUUGGGGUGGGCUCGCGUCCGAUUAGGUAGUUGGUGAGGUAACGG
rnacentral:rRNA from 1 species